CACGUAGGGUGCGAGCGUUGUCCGGAAUUAUUGGGCGUAAAGAGCUCGUAGGCGGUGUGUCGCGUCGGCCGUGAAAACCUGCAGCUUAACUGUGGGCGUGCGGUCGAUACGGGCAUCACUGGAGUUCGGCAGGGGAGACUGGAAUUCCUGGUGUAGCGGUGAAAUGCGCAGAUAUCAGGAGGAACACCGGUGGCGAAGGCGGGUCUCUGGGCCGGUACUGACGCUGAGGCGCGAAAGCGUGGGGAGCAAACAGG
rnacentral:rRNA from 1 species